GACGAACGCUGGCGGCGUGCUUAACACAUGCAAGUCGAACGGGUCUGCCCUGUUUUUUGCGGGGUGGGUCAGUGGCGAACGGGUGAGUAACACGUGAGUAACCUGCCCCUCACUUCUGGAUAACCGCUUGAAAGGGUGGCUAAUACGGGGUGUUCUGGCUGUGCCGCAUGGUGUGGCUGGGAAAGAUUCACUUUUGUGGUGUUUUAGGGGGGGAUGGGCUCGCGGCCUAUCAGCUUGUUGGUGGGGUGAUGGCCUGCCAAGGCUUUGACGGGUAGCCGGCCUGAGGGGGUGGGCGGUCACACUGGGGCUGAGAUACGGCCCAGACUCCUGCGGGAGGCAGCAGUGGGGGGUAUUGCACAAUGGGCGGAAGCCUGAUGCAGCGACGUCGCGUGAGGGAUGGAGGCCUUCGGGUUGUGAACCUCUUUCGCCGGUGAAGAAGGUCCUGCUCUUUGUGGUGGGGUUGACGGUAGCCGGGUUAUGAAGCGCCGGCUAACUACGUG
rnacentral:rRNA from 1 species